UACGUAGGGGGCGAGCGUUGUCCGGAAUCAUUGGGCGUAAAGCGCGUGUAGGCGGCUCGGUAAGUAGGGGGUGAAAUCCUGCGGCUUAACCGCAGGGCUGCCUUCUAAACUGUCGAGCUUGAGCACGGUAGAGGCAGAUGGAAUUCCCGGUGUAGCGGUGGAAUGCGUAGAGAUCGGGAAGAACAUCAGUGGCGAAGGCGGUCUGCUGGGCCGUUGCUGACGCUGAGGCGCGACAGCGUGGGGGAGCAAACAGG
rnacentral:rRNA from 1 species